CUCGGCUGGAAUGUGCUUUUAAUCGCUCACAG
rnacentral:scRNA from 1 species